rnacentral:tRNA from 1 species
GCGUCCGUGGAGUAGUGGUCAGCACGCUCGGCGCGUAUUCGAGAGGUCCGUGGUUCGAGUCCCGGCGAGGGCA